rnacentral:snoRNA from 17 species
CCUGCAGGAUAGUGUGUAUCGGCCUAAUGCCUUAUGCUAUGCAUUUUUUGCCGAAAGUGUUUCCUGCUAUAUCAAUUAGAGGAAAGUGGGCAGUUGGGUUAAGCUUAUUCUGUUUUCUCCAACAAUCAUUUUCCUCUCAUUA